rnacentral:rRNA from 1 species
UGCAAGUCGAGCGAAGAGAUGGGAGCUUGCUCCCUGAUCUUAGCGGCGGACGGGUGAGUAACACGUGGGCAACCUGCCCUGCAGACUGGGAUAACUCCGGGAAACCGGAGCUAAUACCGGGUAAUACAUCGCACCGCAUGGUGCAAUGUUGAAAGUUGGCUUUCGAGCUAACACUGCAGGAUGGGCCCGCGGCGCAUUAGCUAGUUGGUAAGGUAAUGGCUUACCAAGGCGACGAUGCGUAGCCGACCUGAGAGGGUGAUCGGCCACACUGGGACUGAGACACGGCCCAGACUCCUACGGGAGGCAGCAGUAGGGAAUCUUCCGCAAUGGACGAAAGUCUGACGGAGCAACGCCGCGUGAGUGACGAAGGCCUUCGGGUCGUAAAGCUCUGUUGUUAGGGAAGAACAAGUACCGUUCGAAUAGGGCGGUACCUUGACGGUACCUAACCAGAAAGCCACGGCUAACUACGUGCCAGCAGCCGCGGUAAUACGUAGGUGGCAAGCGUUGUCCGGAAUUAUUGGGCGUAAAGCGCGCGCAGGCGGUCUUUUAAGUCUGAUGUGAAAGCCCACGGCUCAACCGUGGAGGGUCAUUGGAAACUGGAGGACUUGAGUGCAGAAGAGGAGAGUGGAAUUCCACGUGUAGCGGUGAAAUGCGUAGAUAUGUGGAGGAACACCAGUGGCGAAGGCGGCUCUCUGGUCUGUAACUGACGCUGAGGCGCGAAAGCGUGGGGAGCAAACAGGAUUAGAUACCCUGGUAGUCCACGCCGUAAACGAUGAGUGCUAGGUGUUGGGGGGUUCCACCCUCAGUGCUGAAGUUAACACAUUAAGCACUCCGCCUGGGGAGUACGACCGCAAGGUUGAAACUCAAAGGAAUUGACGGGGGCCCGCACAAGCAGUGGAGCAUGUGGUUUAAUUCGAAGCAACGCGAAGAACCUUACCAGGUCUUGACAUCCUCUGACAAUCCUGGAGACAGGACGUUCCCCUUCGGGGGACAGAGUGACAGGUGGUGCAUGGUUGUCGUCAGCUCGUGUCGUGAGAUGUUGGGUUAAGUCCCGCAACGAGCGCAACCCUUGAUCUUAGUUGCCAGCAUUCAGUUGGGCACUCUAAGGUGACUGCCGGUGACAAACCGGAGGAA